UCCACUUGAGAAACCUCUUAUUCAUUCUUCAAUUCUCUCUUUAUUCCGUUUCCUUCCCCUCGUCACUCUCACCAGCUACAUAGUUUACUACUCCCUUUGUCUUUUGCCUCUUCAACCUCAACCUCGUCUUGCUUCACCCUCCUCUAUGGAGACAACCACUUCCGCACCCAACACUCGGCGCCGCUCUUUCCGCUGCUCCUUUGUCACACGCUGUUGUCGCUGUUUCUGCUGUUUCUACUCCUUCCCUUAAUCAAAUGCACCAUCCUCCUCCUAUCGGGUCGUUAGACCCGACCCGAAUUUCUCUCUUAGCCAACCCAUCCCCUUCUUUUCAAUCACUGCACAAACAUGAAACAGAACAACAGCAGUUACAACCUUCCAAGCGUUUCCUUUGGUCAAACCACCCACUUGGGGUUCCACCCCCUGAAACCCACGUCAUCAUCGAGGAAUUUUCUAGUCCAUUUGAUUACAACUAUGAUAUUGCUACCGAUGCAACCUGCAAAAGUCUUCGAGGUCCAACGGGUAUCAUUUUGUACAGAAGAGGGACAAAACUCAGAAAGCAAGGCAUGGUUCCAAACUGUGGGGAUGAUACUGGUUGUGAUUUUGAGAAAAAGAUAAACUUUGCUUUAGAUCCAACAUUACAAGGAGGUCCGCACGAUAAUCACACUGCUGCUCUCAUUUGCUUCUAAAACAAGUAAUGGCAUCAAGAGUUCGUGUAGACGAUGGUUUA